GCGUAAAUUCUUCGGCAAUCAGCCUUCUUUAUAGUCCAGCUCUCACUUCCAUACAGCACUACUGGGAAAACCAACCAAGAAAAGCAUUGCCCUCCCCUAUUAUAGCGCUUUGAGGGGGGCUUAAAGAGUUUCUCCGUUAUCCUUACAGCAGCCCCGCAAGGCAGGACGGUGUUUUCCCAACGUAUUGCUCGCGCUCACGUUUCAGAGGAACAAAAACAGUAACGUUUGCCUUGAAUUAGGUGCCCUCUUCCAUUGUCUCCCCAGACAGACGGAUAACCACAACAACAUGCCACGGAGCUUGGGCCUCCCUCCCCAGAAGGCUCCUCCCUUCCAUCCUUGCACAACUGCCCAGCAAGGGAGGCUAGCCUGACAGCUGAAGUUGGCACCCGGGGUCCUUCGGUUUGCUUCCACACAAUGAACGUGCUUUGUUAAGAACAUAAGAAGAGCAUUGGCUCGAUCUAGUCCAGCAUCCUGUUCUCACUGUGGCCCACCAGAUGCCUGCGAGGAACUUGGCCAUGGUUUGGGAAAGGCUGUGGCCAAGCAGCAGCAGCCCAGUGGUGCCAUGGGGAAACCCAGAAUUUGCAAGUAUGCUGUGACCUUCUGUGGCAGGGGAAGUGUUUCCCAGUCAUCUUGCCAGCUGGAGGAGGCCUGAUUUCGAUAUUCCUAUAGUUUUACGGGAAGUGUUUAUCUGUGGUCCACCUGGGCAGGACAAGGACCUCUCCCAUGCCAACACCACAUCCCAAGGUUGGGCCUGGGCAGUUUUAGGAUGGCACGACCAGUGUGCUUUCACUGGGCAUCACGCUGCAGAGGAUGCCAAAACAAUGCUGAAGAACAAGAGGGAAGGGUGCUGAAUUUUAGCACUGCACAGGGCACCCUUUAAAUUUGAGAGCUCAAUGUCCACCCUGGUUGGGAGAUGAAUCCCAGAAUUCUCCCCACCCACAUUCUUCCUAUAAAAAAGCAAAAAAUAUCAAUGUUUGGUUCAGAAUCUAGGUACUACACCCUCACUAAAGGAGAUUGUAUGAAUGAUUCACUAAAUGAUGAUGUGUGUACCUGA